rnacentral:rRNA from 1 species
CAGUCGCCACGGGAAUACGUAGGGUGCGAGCGUUAAUCGGAAUUACUGGGCGUAAAGCGUGCGCAGGCGGUUCGUUAAGACAGAUGUGAAAUCCCCGGGCUUAACCUGGGAACUGCGUUUGUGACUGGCGAGCUAGAGUAUGGCAGAGGGGGGUAGAAUUCCACGUGUAGCAGUGAAGUGCGUAGAGAUGUGGAGGAAUACCGAUGGCGAAGGCAGCCCCCUGGGCCAAUACUGACGCUCAUGCACGAAAGCGUGGGGAGCAAACAGGAUUAGAUACCCCCGUAGUCCCUGUCUCUUAUAC